rnacentral:rRNA from 1 species
AGCAGCCGCGGUAAUUCCAGCUCCAAUAGCGUAUAUUAAAGUCGUUGCAGUUAAAAAGCUCGUAGUUGAAUUUCGGGAUCAAUUUAUCGGUCGUGCCAAUGGUAUGAACUGGUACAAUUGGUUUCUCCCUUCUGACGAAGCAUGAUGUCAUUAAUUUGGUGUCGUGGGGAAUCAGGACUGUUACUUUGAAAAAAUUAGAGUGUUUAAAGCAAGCAUUAGCUUGAAUACAUUAGCAUGGAAUAAUGAAAUAGGACGUUUGAUCCUAUUUCGUUGGUUUCUAGGAUCGAAGUAAUGAUUAAUAGGGAUAGUUGGGGGCAUUAGUAUUCAAUUGUCAGAGGUGAAAUUCUUGGAUUUAUUGAAGACUAACUACUGCGAAAGCAUUUGCCAAGGAUGUUUUCAUUAAUCAAGAACGAAAGUUAGGGGAUCGAAGACGAUCAGAUACCGUCGUAGUCUUAACCAUAAACUAUGCCGACUAGGGAUCGGAUGAUGUUAAUUUUUUAAUGACUCA